rnacentral:snRNA from 1 species
GUCUCUUCGGAGACAUCCGAUAAAAUUGAAACGAUACAGAGAAUAUUAGCAUGGCCUGUGCAAGGAUGACACUUAUAAAUGGAGAAAUGGUCCAAAUUUUU